AUGAGCUUCAGGAGCCCACGGCUUCACUUCACCCUGCUACUCCUCACAUGCUACUGCUCCAUCAAAAUUGCUGCCAACGGCGGCAAUAGAACCACAGUCCAGUGCCUCCCUAAUCAGGCUUCAUCUCUGCUCCAGCUGAAGCACUCCUUUCUCAAACCCAACCUCUCGUCAUGGCAACAGGGCACAGACUGUUGCCACUGGGAGGGUGUUGGAUGUGACAGGGCAUCCGGUCGGGUGAUCACUUUGGACCUCAGUGAUCGUAACCUGCAGAGCACCAGUGGUCUCAGCCUAGCACUAUUCAACCUCACCUCUCUCACAAAUCUCAGCCUCUCUGAUACCCAUUGGAAUUGGUCACCUCCAAAAUUUGCGUACACUUGA
rnacentral:rRNA from 1 species